UACGAAGGGGGCUAGCGUUGCUCGGAAUUACUGGGCGUAAAGGGCGCGUAGGCGGAUAGUUUAGUCAGAGGUAAAAGCCCAGGGCUCAACCUUGGAACUGCCUUUGAUACUGGCUAUCUUGAGUUCGGGAGAGGUGAGUGGAAUGCCGAGUGUAGAGGUGAAAUUCGUAGAUAUUCGGCGGAACACCAGUGGCGAAGGCGACUCACUGGCCCGAUACUGACGCUGAGGCGCGAAAGCG
rnacentral:rRNA from 1 species